UGUGGCAGCAGCACGGCGGCGAGGCGAGCAGCUCCUCAGCCAGGGAGAAUCACACGUGAAAUGAGCCGCAACAAACCCACAUCAUGUCAUUUUCCCCUCCUGCGGCUAAUGAUUUUAAACAGCGAGCCUUUUUAAGCAUUUUCGAAGCUCAACACGUGCUCCAAAACAAAACCCCUUGCUGGUGGUAGACACAUGGAAAACAUGGCUGUACCAGCAGGGCUUGUGCUCCAAGCCGCACAGCCAGUCUCCUCGGAAGGCCCAUUUUCACUCCACCGUCAGCGAGAGCAUCAACUGCUGUGAAUGCCUACAAAGCCAAAAAAAACCCACAACUACAAUAAUAGAAAUAGGACCAAAGAUAAAAACAAAAA